rnacentral:rRNA from 1 species
GUGGUAGGGGAGCGUUCUGUAAGCCGAUGAAGGUGUGUUGAGAAGCAUGCUGGAGGUAUCAGAAGUGCGAAUGCUGACGUGAGUAACGACAAAACGGGUGAAAAACCCGUUCGCCGAAAGACCAAGGGUUCCAGUCCAACGUUAAUCGGGGCUGGGUGAGUCGACCCCUAAGGCGAGGCCGAAAGGCGUAGUCGAUGGGAAAAUGGUUAAUAUUCCAUUACUUCUGUGUAAUGCGAUGAGAGGACGGAGAAGGCUAAAUCAGCCUGGCGUUGGUUGUCCAGGUGAAAGGAUGUAGGCAUGUAUCUUAGGCAAAUCCGGGGUACUCUAUGCUGAGAUCUGAUAGCAAGCUGUACUUGUACAGCGAAGUGGUUGAUGCCAUGCUUCCAGGAAAAGUCUCUAAGCUUCAGUUACACAGGAAUCGUACCCGAAACCGACACAGGUGGUCAGGUCGAGUAGACCAAGGCGCUUGAGAGAACUCUGCUGAAGGAACUAGGCAAAAUGGUACCGUAACUUCGGGAGAAGGUACGCUGUUGUUGGUGAUGGAACUCGCUUCCUGAGCUGACGACAGCCGCAGAAACCAGGCCGCUGCAACUGUUUAUUAAAAACAUAGCACUCUGCAAACACGAAAGUGGACGUAUAGGGUGUGAUGCCUGCCCGGUGCUGGAAGGUUAAUUGAUGGGGUUAGCGUAAGCGAAGCUCUUGAUCGAAGCCCCAGUAAACGGCGGCCGUAACUAUAACGGUCCUAAGGUAGCGAAAUUCCUUGUCGGGUAAGUUCCGACCUGCACGAAUGGCAUAAUGAUGGCGGCGCUGUCUCCAGCAGAGGCUCAGUGAAAUCGAAAUCGCUGUGAAGAUGCAGUGUACCCGCGGCUAGACGGAAAGACCCCGUGAACCUUUACUGCAGCUUGACACUGAACUUUGACCUUACUUGUGUAGGAUAGGUGGGAGGCUUUGAAGCUGGAACGCUAGUUCCAGUGGAGCCGUCCUUGAAAUACCACCCUGGUAAUGUUGAGGUUCUAACUCUGUCCCGUGAUCCGGGACGAGGACCGUGUCUGGUGGGUAGUUUGACUGGGGCGGUCUCCUCCUAAAGAGUAACGGAGGAGUACGAAGGUGCGCUCAGCGUGGUCGGAAAUCACGCGUAGAGUAUAAAGGCAAAAGCGCGCUUAACUGCGAGACCCACAAGUCGAGCAGGUACGAAAGUAGGUCUUAGUGAUCCGGUGGUUCUGUAUGGAAGGGCCAUCGCUCAACGGAUAAAAGGUACUCUGGGGAUAACAGGCUGAUACCGCCCAAGAGUUCAUAUCGACGGCGGUGUUUGGCACCUCGAUGUCGGCUCAUCUCAUCCUGGGGCUGAAGCAGGUCCCAAGGGUAUGGCUGUUCGCCAUUUAAAGAGGUACGCGAGCUGGGUUUAGAACGUCGUGAGACAGUUCGGUCCCUAUCUACGUGGGCGCUGGAAAUUUGAGAGGAUCUGCUCCUAGUACGAGAGGACCAGAGUGGACGAACCUCUGGUGUACCGGUUGUGACGCCAGUCGCAUCGCCGGGUAGCUAUGUUCGGAAGGGAUAACCGCUGAAAGCAUCUAAGCGGGAAGCCUACCUCAAGAUAAGAUUUCCCUAGGACUUUAUGUCCUCUAAAGAGCCGUUCGAGACUAGGACGUUGAUAGGUUGGAUGUGGAAGCAUAGUGAUAUGUGAAGCUGACCAAUACUAAUUGCUCGUGAGGCUUGACUAUACAACACCCAAGCAGUUG